rnacentral:lncRNA from 1 species
UCAUAUAGUUGAUAGGUACACAUUUAGCACAAUCAAACACACGAUUUCCAACCAAUAAAAUCCUUCUUCUAAGCCAAACAUUUAGAUCAUAUACCGACUUCUCGUCGAACCUACCAAAAAAAGGAAAAUUAGCAACAUAAAUAUUUGCAAGUGAUGUAGGUCGAAUAGUAAUCAAAUAACUACAGGAGAACAACUGAGCAAUAUUUGACGAAAUGCUAAACUGCAAGUGCCCACAAGCACACAUAUUCCUUAACUAAAAUACAUCUACUCACAACCAGACUGCGCUGAACAUGCUAAAUUACAGAAUAUGUUCUAGCGGUUGUUGCCUUGCAACCACGAAAUAGUAGUCAACAUAAACAAAAUGGUAUCAUUUUUAAUAGGAAUCUAAAUCUGCCAAGACACCAUAUAAUGCACAAAAAUCUAAUUUGGUCUCGUCAUCUCUGGCUCCACUUCGAGCCCUUGCAGUUUGGGGCGUAAGACCUGCUGCUUUCUUGAUCUUGUAGUUCUUCAGCUUCACACCUAAAUCCAAGGGUUUCUCCUGGAAACUCCUAAGCUUAUCGAAUAUCAUUUUGACCUGCCAUGUAAAUCAUCGUUUUUAAAAAAUUUCAGUGAUUUGGUGAAAACAAAAAAUCCAAGUGUAGUUUGAGCUGAUACUAAGUAUAUAUGUGCAUAUGCCUGACGAAGUCAUGCGAUUUUAUAUAAAGGGAAAUAUAACAAACCUAGCUUGGAGAAUUUCUGUCUAACUAACUCUUCUAAAACAAGCUGAUCCACCACAGAAUCAAGUAUAGUGAAGUUCCAUACGAAGCUGGAAUAGGUAGCAAAAAUUAGGAGACAACACGUAGGAGAGAAGACAAUAUAUCAAGGGCAGGCAUUAUCCUCUGUUUCAAUGUAUCGUAAUCCUAAAAGGCCAGUAGAGUUUGAAAAUCAUGCCUUAUGUAUAUUGACAUCUUGAUUUCCUAGUCUAAUCAACACUAAACCAGAAUGCCAAAGAAUAAAAAGCUUCAGGCUAUGCAACGAAUACAUUACAGUGGUAACUAAUAACAAGCUACCUGGACCACCCAGGUGUUGUAUUUUCUCCAAACUUAAUCCCAAGUUACAUAUUGUUGGUAUAUAUCAGUGUGCUAUUCUAGUAAACCUUGACCAUAUAUAUCAACACCCGUUGUUGAAAAAAUAAGUGGAAAAGGACAAAUAUUAUCCUGUGUCCAAAUUCUGGUUAAAAG